CUCUGUUGGGUGUCGACCAGUAGCAAGAUGCACGAGAUGCUCGUGAAAUUGUGGAAAUCGAUUUGAAUGGCUUUUCCAAAUCAAAGAUCGUUCUCAGUGUUAAGAGAGUUCCUUUCUCGCAAUCAGUGAGCUCUUUGAUAGCUGUGUCGCGAUAAAGAUGUUAUGGCAGGGUGGGAAGUGGAUCUUGAGACUAAUUCCCGAGAAUCAAGAGAAGGAUCGAAGCCGCUUACGUAUUUUACGAUUUUCCUAUAUUGAAUACGACCAAAGUUAAAGGCUGCUUACAGAGGAAAAUGAAAACUGCUGCGUUCGCUGGACAGCACUUGAAAAGAUUUCCCUCCUCUUGUAAAAGGAUAAACGUCGCUGAAUGUGUGCAUUCUUGAAACGCAGACUUUUGAGUGCACUAUACCAUUGUUCGUACCAAAAUAGGAGCACGUUUAAGUAUAACGUAUUUUAAGAAAAGCCUUGGUUUUUAAGCUGCUUGAAAUUGAAGCUUUUCGUGCGCUGUUACUUCGUUCUUUUCACAACCGUGGAAAAAAUGUCUGUAUAAGGUUUAAUGAAAAUUUCUGUGACCCUGGAUGUAAUAAAACAUUUUCCAUUCAUUGAAUUCCCCAUUUUUUUUAGUACGUUGUCCUUAUAUUAAAGUAGUAUUAUUCGAGUAAAUAUUCCGAACAGUAGAAA
rnacentral:misc_RNA from 1 species